UUUGAGGAAGCGUGGCUUAAGACUCACUUCAGGCGGCUCUUUCGAGAAGGGCAGCGGCUACCAUUCCCCGUCCCGUCCCAGGCCUCUUCCAGAUGGGCAGAACUACACUUGAGCAUUGAUGCAUCAUGUUAAACUCGGCUAAAUGAAUCUCGUAUAUCUCAUUAACCUUCCCUGCUCACAGAAUGAACCAGUAGUUGUGAGCUUGCAUAUUCACAGUCUAAUUUUAUGCCUGGGCACUCUUGCAAUGCAAAGCAAAUAAUUGCUUUUUUCAAUGCAAUUAAAAUGUGAAGCCAACUUUCAAGUGGAUCUGGAGAGGCCAUAUUAAAUGCAUCAGUGGUUCAUUUCACUUCUAAAACAUACUUUUAAAACUACAGGAUGUAUCUUCAUUUUAAAAUAGUUGAAUCCAGGCCCGGAGUUAGGCUGCACACAUUUUACACACAUAUAAUUGGAACUUUCCCUGUACUGAAUUCCUGGGAGUCUCAUUCCAAGUGGUCAUGCAUGCCAUUCAUUCAAUGAAAUAUCCCAUUUGUCAAUGGCUUGCAGGAAUAAUUAUUAUUUAAAAAGCCUGGAGGUGGAAAUAGAAUCUCCUUAGGCUUUUAAAAAACUGGGUGCUAUUUAAAACUAUGUUUCCAUCACUACAAAAUUUUCCAAGGAACAUGGUUUUGGUUUUUAUUCUCUUAUUGUCUCAAGGUGUUUUGAUAUGGCAAAUUGUAUGGAUAAGCAUUUAAUUUUAACUGGAAGUAGACUAUUGGGAUAUUUAUUUGGACUACAGUAAUCUAUAAAAAAGGUUAGCCAUUCGGUGGUUCAAAUCCCUAG